UACGGAGGGUGCGAGCGUUAAUCGGAAUUACUGGGCGUAAAGGGCGCGUAGGCGGUUUGUUAAGUCUGAUGUGAAAGCCCUGGGCUUAACCUGGGAACGGCAUUGGAAACUGGCGGGCUUGAGUGUGGUAGAGGGGUGUGGAAUUUCCGGUGUAGCAGUGAAAUGCGUAGAGAUCGGAAGGAACACCAGUGGCGAAGGCGGCACCCUGGACCAACACUGACGCUGAGGCGCGAAAGCGUGGGGAGCAAACAGG
rnacentral:rRNA from 1 species